GUGUCCGUCAGGCUGCUGCAGCUGUCACCGAUGCCCCAGAAGCCAUUGCCCCCUGCCCUGCCUUGGUGUAAAUUUAGAUGCACACACUCUGCUUUCCUUCCGCGUCUGCUGAGGCUGAGCGCUCUUAAUCCGAGUUCGGUGACGUUGUUCCUGGAAUAUUUUGAUUUGGAGUCAGAAGACUUAAAUUCAGCUUUUGCUAUUACCAAUUGAGUAAUCAGUACAAUCCUAUAUAACAACCAGUUAAAGCUGCCUGCUUAAUUGUUCAUCUAGUGGCACUGGUAGAAAAAAGGAGAAAAGGACCAUGACAUCAAGUAGUUGAUACCAUGACACACAAGUGAAUUGGAUUUAAGUGAGGGAGGGCUGUGCAAGGUCAUCUGCCUCACUUUCUCCUCCAGAGCCAUCUGGGUCCAGUGGUAAGAUGCAUUUCAAGACGACUGGAGAUGACCCUGGUUGACAUGGUAGGCACUUAAUAACUAUUUAUUGAUGCAUAAUCACAGAACAUAAGUCCAGAUAGCACAGGAUUUAUUAAACCUCUUUUGUCCCAUAAACUUCAUCCCUGUUAUCCCAGGUCCUUCUGAGGGUAACUGUGGGUGAGGAGGAGAGAAAAAUGAUAGUUUUUUUUUUUUUUCAGUUUGGACCCAUUUGUUCAGUUCUAUAAAACUCUUUUUUGAUAUUGCUAGAAGACUGUCAGUUGAAAACAAAUCUCAAAACCUAAAAUAAUUUUAUUAGAUCAUUUUGGCGAAAAAAAAAAAAAAGGCCCGGGAAAAGUGUGGCUACUAAAAAUUAAAAGAAAAUCCUUAAAAGGAUUUUAAAGGCCAUCCAAACUCUUCCCAGUUUAUUCGUUUUGGAGAGAGGUUCAGUUUUGUACAACCUAAGACUGGUUGCUCUUAACACAAAGAUUGUCUCUUCUAUAUUUCCUAUAUUCUAUGGUCUUGAAUAAGCUCUCUGAGUUUAACAAAAUAAGGGAUAUCGAUAAAAAAGAACUAAGGAGCCUGAUUUUAAAUUGUUCCCUUAAAACAAGUUACGCUUUUUUUUUUUUUUUUUGAUAGCAUAGUAAUUGGUGACCUGAAAAGGAUAUUCAAUCAGUCAACCAAAAAGCAUUUAUUAAAGAUCUGUUAUGUGUCAGGCACUGUGUAUAUCCUGAGGAUACAGAGAAAGGCAAAAAGACAACCACCACUCUCCAAGAGCUCACGCAUGGAAAACAAUAUGCAAACAUCUAUGUACAAACAAGAUAGACAAAUGCAGUACACACUGAAGAUAAUAAACAGAGGGAAGGCAUUAGAAUUGAGAAGAAAUGCAAAACGUUUUUGGUAGCAGUUGGAAUUUAGCCAGCACUUGAGGGAACCCAGGAGGUAGAAAUAAAGAGAUAGAGCAUUCUAGGCAAGGGAAUACAGUGUUUCAAGAGUACAAAUUAGAAAUAAUAAUAAUUCUAAUAUGAUGAUGAUGAUGAUUAGCAUUAAUAUAGCGCCUACUAUUUCCCAAGCACUGUAGCUUAAGCAUUUGACUUGGAGAGGCUUUUUUGUGCAAACUCUUCAUAUCUCAAACUAUCUUGAUUUCUUUUUUUUAAUUAAAGUUUUUAUUUUUCAAAACAUGCAUGGACAAUUUUUCAUCAUUAGCCCUUUGUUCCAAUUUUCCUCCACUUCCCCCAUGCCCUCUCCUAGAUGGCAAAUAUAUCUUGAUUUCUUACCAGGUGUUCAUAAAGAGUGAUUAUUGCUAGUAUUAAAAUAACAGUCACUCUAGGUAAUUAUUUUGUAGCUGAAUAGUAUAAAAUUAAUCGCAAUGUGAUAUAAAAGAAAACUAGAAAUGUGUUUCCUUCAAGCUAAAGCAUAAAAACAAAUUCAUUACUUAUGUUUUGUGAUCUUUUUCUUUGUCUGGAAGGGAAGAAAUUAUUUAUAUGCUGUAAUGUGUGUUUAUUAAAUGUCUUUAUACAUUAAAUUAGAUAUAUGUUAAACCAAAAGCUAGAAAACAACGUGGGUACUUAUUGACUAAGAAAUGGUGAAACAAGUUAGGGUGUAUUAAUUUAACUUACUGUAAUACCUUAAGGAAUAAGAGGAAUUUUGAGAAACCUAAAAAAGAUUUCAUAAACUGAUGCAGAUUGAAGUAGAACCAGAAAAAAAAUUGAUAUAUGCAAUGACUACAGUAACAAAAUGAAAAUAUCAAUGAAAGAUACUUCAACUCAGAUUUAUUAAAAUGAAUUGUCUUGCUUCCACAGAACUGAGGAUGGAAGGGAUUUUUCUCCUUUCUAUAUAAAGGUGAGAAACUAUGAUUAUGAAAUGCUAUGCACAAUGAAAGAGUCAUUUUUUUUUUUUUACAAAUUAAGACAACUCUCCCAUACCACUACACACCUCUCAGAUUAGCUAAAAUGACAGGAAAAGAUAAUAACAAAUGUUGGAAGAGAUGUGGGAAAACUGGGACACUGAUACAUUGUUGAUAGAACUGUGAACGGAUCCAACCAUUCUGGAGAGCAAUUUGGAACUAUGCUCAAAAAUGUAUCAAACUGUGCAUACCCUUUGAUCCAACAAUGUUUCUACUGGGUUUAUCUCCCAAAGUGAUCUUAAAGAGGGGAAAGGGAACUGUAUGUGCAAAAAUGUUUGUGGCAGGUUUUUUUUGUAGUGACUAGAAACUGGAUACUGAAUAGAUGCCCAUCAAUUGAAGAAUGGCUGAAUAAAUUAUGGUAUAUGGAUGUUAUGGAAUAUUAUUAAAUGACCAACAGGAUGAUUUCAGAGAUGCCUAGAGAGACAUGAAUUGAUGCUAAGUGAAAUGAGCAGAACCAGAUCAUUAUACUUGGCAAUAACAAGACUAUACAAUGAUCAAUUCUGAUGGACAUUGCUCUCUUCAACAAUGAGAUGAUUCAAACCAGUUUCAAUUGUUCAUUAAUGAAGAGAACCAUCUACACCCAGAGAGAGAAAUAUAGGAACUGAGUGUGGACUACAACAUAGCAUUUUCACUCUUUCUGUUACUAUUUGCUUGCAUUUUUGUUUUCCUUCUAAAGUUUUUUUUUCCUUUCUAGAUCAGAUUUUUCUUGUACAGCAAGAUUAUAUAAAUAUGUAUACAUAUAUUGGAUUUAACAUAUUUAACAUGUAUUGGACUAUUUGCCAUUUAGGGGAGGGAAGGGGGGAAGGAGGGGAAAAUUUGGAACAGAAGGUUUUGCAAGGGUCAAUGUUGAAAAAAUUAUCCAUGCACAUGUUUUGUAAAUAAAAAGCUAUAAUUAAA